rnacentral:rRNA from 1 species
UACGAAGGGGGCUAGCGUUGUUCGGAUUUACUGGGCGUAAAGCGCACGUAGGCGGAUCGUUAAGUCGGGGGGUGAAAUCCUGGAGCUCAACUCCAGAACUGCCUUCGAUACUGGCGAUCUUGAGUCCGGAAGAGGUGAGUGGAAUUCCUGGUGUAGCGGUGGAAUGCGCAGAUAUCAGGAGGAACACCAAUAGCGAAGGCAGCUCGCUGGGACGGUACUGACGCUAAGGCGCGAAAGCGUGGGGAGCGAACAGG